GCAGCAUGGAGACACACAACUUUUCUUUCUCAAGUGUCAACCUUAUAAAGAAUAGAUUCAAUUUUUAAUUUUUCAGGAUAAAAGUAAUGACCAAAUAAAAUUGCAUCCACCUCGACUAAUCCACAGGAUACCUGCUGUUGCACCCCUUCUCAAAACCGGUUUAAGUUGAAGUGCACGGUUUUGUAAGGGUAUCUACACCUGCCACCUCCCACCAGUACAGACUACAGAUCGAAGACAAAUUUAUCCAUCAUGGCUUAGGUAUAGGCGAAGAAAUGACCUAGUACUUUUCGUCUCUAUUGAGAUUUUAACUUUAGUUUCCCAGGCCUUUCCAACAUCAUUAACCACUAGAUCACACAAUUAUGUGUCAAACUUAAGCUAUU
rnacentral:misc_RNA from 1 species